GAUGAACGCUGGCGGCGUGCCUAAUACAUGCAAGUCGAGCGAACAGACGAGGAGCUUGCUCCUCUGACGUUAGCGGCGGACGGGUGAGUAACACGUGGAUAACCUACCUAUAAGACUGGGAUAACUUCGGGAGACCGGAGCUAAUACCGGAUAAUAUAUUGAACCGCAUGGUUCAAUAGUGAAAGACGGUUUUGCUGUCACUUAUAGAUGGAUCCGCGCCGCAUUAGCUAGUUGGUAAGGUAACGGCUUACCAAGGCGACGAUGCGUAGCCGACCUGAGAGGAUGAUCGGCCACACUGGAACUGAGACACGGUCCAGACUCCUACGGGAGGCAGCAGUAGGGAAUCUUCCGCAAUGGGCGAAAGCCUGACGGAGCAACGCCGCGUGAGUGAUGAAGGUCUUCGGAUCGUAAAACUCUGUUAUUAGGGAAGAACAAAUGUGUAAGUAACUAUGCACGUCUUGACGGUACCUAAUCAGAAAGCCACGGCUAACUACGUG
rnacentral:rRNA from 1 species